AGUGAACGUUGGCGGCGUGGAUUAGGCAUGCAAGUCGAGCGAGAACCGUAGCAAUACGGGGACAGCGGCGAAAGGGACAGUAAUGUGUAGGUACCUACCCCCGGGUUCGGGAUAGCUGCGGGAAACUGCAGGUAAUACCGAAUAAUGUCUCCGGACCAAAGGUGUGAUUCCACCUGGGGAGGGGCCUGCAUCCUAUUAGCUUGUUGGUGGGGUAACGGCCUACCAAGGCGACGAUGGGUAGCGGGUGUGAGAGCAUGACCCGCGUCAUUGGGACUGAGACACUGCCCAGACACCUACGGGUGGCUGCAGUCGAGAAUCUUCGGCAAUGGGCGCAAGCCUGACCGAGCGACGCCGCGCGCGGGAUGAAGGCCUUCGGGUUGUAAACCGCUGUCGUAGAGGAGGAAAUGCAGGGGGGUUCUCCCCUUUGCUCGACCUAUUCUGGGAGGAAGUACGGGCUAAGUUCGUGCCAGCAGCCGCAGUAA
rnacentral:rRNA from 1 species